UUUAGUGGCGGACUGGUGAGUAAACGCGUAAGGAACCUACCUAUUAGAGGGGAACAACAAUGAGAAAUCAUUGCUAAUACCGCAUAUGCCAUAACUACCGCAUGGUAGAAGUGGGAAAGGAGUAAUCCGCUGAUAGAUGGCCUUGCGUCUGAUUAGUUAGUUGGUGGGGUAACGGCCUACCAAGACGACGAUCAGUAGCCGGACUGAGAGGUUGAACGGCCACAUUGGGACUGAGAUACGGCCCAGACUCCUACGGGAGGCAGCAGUCGGGAAUAUUGCGCAAUGGAGGAAACUCUGACGCAGUGACGCCGCGUGCAGGAAGAAGGUUUUCGGAUUGUAAACUGCUUUAGACAGGGAAGAGAAAGGACAGUACCUGUAGAAUAAGCUCCGGCUAACUACGUGCCAGCAGCCGCGGUAAUACGUAGGGAGCGAGCGUUAUCCGGAUUUAUUGGGUGUAAAGGGUGCGUAGACGGGAAUACAAGUUAGUUGUGAAAUACCUCGGCUUAACUGAGGAACUGCAACUAAAACUAUAUCUCUUGAGUACAGGAGAGGUAAGUGGAAUUCCUAGUGUAGCGGUGAAAUGCGUAGAUAUUAGGAGGAACACCAGUGGCGAAGGCGACUUACUGGACUGAAACUGACGUUGAGGCACGAAAGUGUGGGGAGCAAACAGGAUUAGAUACCCUGGUAGUCCACACCGUAAACGAUGGAUACUUGGUGUAGGAGAUAUUAAAGUCUUCUGUGCCGUCGCAAACCGCAGUAAGUAUCCCGCCUGGGGGAGUACGGCCGCAAGGUUGAAACUCAAAGGAAUUGACGGGGGGCCCGCACAAGCAGCGGAGCAUGUGGUUUAAUUCGACGCAACGCGAAGAACCUUACCAGGUCUUGACAUCCACUUAAACUUACAGAGAUGUAAGGUGUGCUUGCACAAAGUGAGACAGGUGGUGCAUGGUUGUCGUCAGCUCGUGUCGUGAGAUGUUGGGUUAAGUCCCGCAACGAGCGCAACCCUUAUCUUCAGUUACUAACGCGUAGAGGUGAGGACUCUGAAGAGACUGCCGGGGACAACUCGGAGGAAGGUGGGGACGACGUCAAAUCAUCAUGCCCUAUAUGUCCUGGGCUACACACGUACUACAAUGGAUGUUAACAGAGGGAAGCAAGACAGCGAUGUGGAGCAAACCCCUAAAAACAUUCUCAGUUCAGAUUGCAGGCUGCAACCCGCCUGCAUGAAGAUGGAAUUGCUAGUAAUCGCGGAUCAGCAUGCCGCGGUGAAUACGUUCCCGGGCCUUGCACUCACCGCCCGUCA
rnacentral:rRNA from 1 species